rnacentral:rRNA from 1 species
GAUGAACGCUGGCGGCGUGCCUAAUACAAGCAAGUCGAGCGAACGGACGAGAAGCUUGCUUCUCUGAUGUUAGCGGCGGACGGGUGAGUAACACGUGGAUAACCUACCUAUAAGACUGGGAUAACUUCGGGAAACCGGAGCUAAUACCGGAUAAUAUUUUGAACCGCAUGGUUCAAAAGUGAAGGACGGUCUUGCUGUCACUUAUAGAUGGAUCCGCGCUGCAUUAGCUAGUUGGUAAGGUAACGGCUUACCAAGGCAACGAUGCAUAGCCGACCUGAGAGGGUGAUCGGCCACACUGGAACUGAGACACGGUCCAGACUCCUACGGGAGGCAGCAGUAGGGAAUCUUCCGCAAUGGGCGAAAGCCUGACGGAGCAACGCCGCGUGAGUGAUGAAGGUCUUCGGAUCGUAAAACUCUGUUAUUAGGGAAGAACAUAUGUGUAAGUAACUGUGCACAUCUUGACGGUACCUAAUCAGAAAGCCACGGCUAACUACGUG